rnacentral:rRNA from 1 species
AUUGAACGCUGGCGGCAGGCUUAACACAUGCAAGUCGAGCGGAGCGAGGGUGCUUGCACCUUAGCUUAGCGGCGGACGGGUGAGUAAUGCUUAGGAAUCUGCCUAUUAGUGGGGGACAACAUUCCGAAAGGAAUGCUAAUACCGCAUACGCCUACGGGGAAGCAGGGAUCUUCGGACCUUGCGCUAAUAGAUGAGCCUAAGUCAGAUUAGCUAGUUGGUGGGUAAAGGCCUACCAAGGCGACGAUCUGUAGCGGGUCUGAGAGGAUGAUCCGCCACACUGGGACUGAGACACGGCCCAGACUCCUACGGGAGGCAGCAGUGGGGAAUAUUGGACAAUGGGCGCAAAGCCUGAUCCAGCCAUGCCGCGUGUGUGAAGAAGGCCUUUUGGUUGU